AAUUGGUUUUUGCGGCUGUCUGACCAGGCAGUGCCGCGACGCUACCAUCUGCCGGAUAAUGGCUGAACGCCUCUAAGCCAGAAUCCGUGCUAGAAGCGAUAACGUUGGUCCCGCACAUGCCUAGUGUUGGAAUAGAGCUUUGCUCGUACACCAUACAAGCCGCGUGCAGCCGGAAGGGGUAGCGUGGUUGAUUGCAAUGUAAACAUGCGCGGGGGGAAAUCCUUUGCAGACGACUUGAAUG
rnacentral:rRNA from 1 species